AGCGUGUUGUGAAAUGUAGACGCUCAACGUCUGCACUGCAGCGCGAACUGGUUUCCUUGAGUACGCACAAAGUGGGCGGAAUUCGUGGUGUAGCGGUGAAAUGCUUAGAUAUCACGAAGAACUCCGAUUGCGAAGGCAGCCUGCUAAGCUGCAACUGACAUUGAGGCUCGAAAGUGUGGGUAUCAAACAGGAUUAGAUACCCUGGUAGUCCACACGGUAAACGAUGAAUACUCGCUGUUUGCGAUAUACGGCAAGCGGCCAAGCGAAAGCGUUAAGUAUUCCACCUGGGGAGUACGCCGGCAACGGUGAAACUCAAAGGAAUUGACGGGGGCCCGCACAAGCGGAGGAACAUGUGGUUUAAUUCGAUGAUACGCGAGGAACCUUACCCGGGCUUAAAUUGCACUCGAAUGAUCCGGAAACGGUUCAGCUAGCAAUAGCGAGUGUGAAGGUGCUGCAUGGUUGUCGUCAGCUCGUGCCGUGAGGUGUCGGCUUAAGUGCCAUAACGAGCGCAACCCUUGUUGUCAGUUACUAACAGGUGAUGCUGAGGACUCUGACAAGACUGCCAUCGUAAGAUGUGAGGAAGGUGGGGAUGACGUCAAAUCAGCACGGCCCUUACGUCCGGGGCUACACACGUGUUACAAUGGGGGGUACAGAGGGCCGCUACCACGCGAGUGGAUGCCAAUCCCUAAAACCCCUCUCAGUUCGGACUGGAGUCUGCAACCCGACUCCACGAAGCUGGAUUCGCUAGUAAUCGCGCAUCAGCCAUGGCGCGGUGAAUACGUUCCCGGGCCUUGUACACACC
rnacentral:rRNA from 1 species